rnacentral:rRNA from 1 species
GAUGAACGCUGGCGGCGUGCCUAAUACAUGCAAGUCGAGCGAACAGAUGAGGAGCUUGCUCCUCUGACGUUAGCGGCGGACGGGUGAGUAACACGUGGAUAACCUACCUAUAAGACUGGGAUAACUUCGGGAAACCGGAGCUAAUACCGGAUAAUAUAUUGAACCGCAUGGUUCAAUAGUGAAAGACGGUUUUGCUGUCACUUAUAGAUGGAUCCUCGCCGCAUUAGCUAGUUGGUAAGGUAACGGCUUACCAAGGCAACGAUGCGUAGCCGACCUGAGAGGGUGAUCGGCCACACUGGAACUGAGACACGGUCCAGACUCCUACGGGAGGCAGCAGUAGGGAAUCUUCCGCAAUGGGCGAAAGCCUGACGGAGCAACGCCGCGUGAGUGAUGAAGGUCUUCGGAUCGUAAAACUCUGUUAUUAGGGAAGAACAAAUGUGUAAGUAACUAUGCACGUCUUGACGGUACCUAAUCAGAAAGCCACGGCUAACUACGUG